CUUUUCUCUUUCUUUUCUCCUUUUCUUCUCCAGGAACUUGUUUUUCUCCUUUCUUUCUUUUUUUCCUUUUUCUGUCCUUGUGUUUUUCAUGCUCAGAUUUGUCUUCGUAGAGGGCGGAAUCAAGUCCCGCAUUUCCAGUGGAGAGUUCAGCAACUUCGCUUCCUCCAACUUUCAGCACCAGUUUCAGCGGCUUUUCCACAUAUUCUUAAACCAGCAGAGAAACAAACCUUCAGGAAGAAGACGUAGAUCUUGGUAACACCAGAAAUAUGCAGAGGCCAUGGCAAAGCACAGGAGGCAAGUGUGCCAAAUAUUUCAGAAGAAGGUUUCUGUUGGGAAAAUUAAGCAGGAUUCAGCUGGAUCCACAUAGCUUCCCUCACAAGUGGAGAUCGAUGGACAAAUGGGAUUUAUCCAUCAUCCCUGCUUUUCCCUAGUCAAGUGGAGGAUUUGGAGCAAAAGAAGAGAGAAACCUGAACAGUGAACAAACUGGAACUGAAGCCUGCCUUAGCAGCUGC